GAUUAGCUGAUGGGGAACUCAUCGGCGCAGCUAACGCAUUAAAUCAUCCGCCUGAGUAGUAUGCUCGCAAGAGUGAAACUUAAAGGAAUUGACGGGGAUCCGCACAAGCGGUGGAGCAUGUGGUUUAAUUUGAAGAUACGCGUAGAACCUUACCCACUCUUGACAUCUUCUGCAAAGCUAUAGAGAUAUAGUAAAAAAAGAACGGAAUGACAGAUGGUGCAUGGUUGUCGUCAGCUCGUGUCAUGAGAGGUUCGGUUAAGUCCUGCAACGAGCGCAACCCUUGUCUUUAGUUCGAUGAUUUAGGGAGACUGCCCGGGUAACCGGGAGGAAGGUGGGGACGACGUCAAAUCAUCAUGCCUCUUACGAGUGGGGCAACACACGUGCUACAAUGGAUGGUACAAAGAGAAGCAAUACGGCGACGUGGAGCAAAUCUCAAAAAACCAUUCUCAGUUCGGAUUGUAGUCUGCAACUCGACUACAUGAAGUCGGAAUCGCUAGUAAUCGUAGAUCAGCUACGCUACGGUGAAUACGUUCUCGGGUCUUGUACACACCGCCCGUCACACCAUGGGAGCUGGUAAUGCCCGAAGUCGGUUUUGUUAACUACGGAGACAACUGCCUAAGGCAGGACUGGUGACUGGGGUG
rnacentral:rRNA from 1 species